rnacentral:rRNA from 1 species
AGUGAACGCUGGCGGUAGGCCUAACACAUGCAAGUCGAACGGCAGCACAGUAAGAGCUUGCUCUUACGGGUGGCGGGUGGCGGACGGGUGAGGAAUACAUCGGAAUCUACUUUUUCGUGGGGGAUAACGUAGGGAAACUUACGCUAAUACCGCAUACGACCUACGGGUGAAAGCAGGGGAUCUUCGGACCUUGCGCGAUUGAAUGAGCCGAUGUCGGAUUAGCUAGUUGGCGGGGUAAAGGCCCACCAAGGCGACGAUCCGUAGCUGGUCUGAGAGGAUGAUCAGCCACACUGGAACUGAAACACGGUCCAGACUCCUGCGGGAGGCAGCAGUGGGGAAUAUUGGACAGUGGGCGCAAGCCUGAUCCAGCCAUACCGCGUGGGUGAAGAAGGCCGUCGGGUUGUAAAGCCCUUUUGUUGGGAAAGAAAAGCAGCAGGUUAAUACCCCGCUGUUCUGACGGUACCCAAAGAAUAAGCACCGGCUAACUUCGUG